GAUGAACGCUGGCGGCGUGCCUAAUACAUGCAAGUCGAGCGAACGGACGAGAAGCUUGCUUCUCUGAUGUUAGCGGCGGACGGGUGAGUAACACGUGGAUAACCUACCUAUAAGACUGGGAUAACUUCGGGAAACCGUAGCUAAUACCGGAUAAUAUUUUGAACCGCAUGGUUCAAAAGUGAAAGACGGUCUUGCUGUCACUUAUAGAUGGAUCCGCGCUGCAUUAGCUAGUUGGUAAGGUAACGGCUUACCAAGGCAACGAUGCAUAGCCGACCUGAGAGGGUGAUCGGCCACACUGGAACUGAGACACGGUCCAGACUCCUACGGGAGGCAGCAGUAGGGAAUCUUCCGCAAUGGGCGAAAGCCUGACGGAGCAACCCCGCGUGAGUGAUGAAGGUCUUCGGAUCGUAAAACUCUGUUAUUAGGGAAGAACAUAUGUGUAAGUAACUGUGCACAUCUUGACGGUACCUAAUCAGAAAGCCACGGCUAACUACGUG
rnacentral:rRNA from 1 species